rnacentral:rRNA from 1 species
UGGGGAAUUUUGGACAAUGGGCGAAAGCCUGAUCCAGCAAUGCCGCGUGUGUGAAGAAGGCCUUCGGGUUGUAAAGCACUUUUGUCCGGAAAGAAAUCCUUGGCUCUAAUACAGUCGGGGGAUGACGGUACCGGAAGAAUAAGCACCGGCUAACUACGUGCCAGCAGCCGCGGUAAUACGUAGGGUGCAAGCGUUAAUCGGAAUUACUGGGCGUAAAGCGUGCGCAGGCGGUUUGCUAAGACCGAUGUGAAAUCCCCGGGCUCAACCUGGGAACUGCAUUGGUGACUGGCAGGCUAGAGUAUGGCAGAGGGGGGUAGAAUUCCACGUGCAGCAGUGAAAUGCGUAGAGAUGUGGAGGAAUACCGAUGGCGAAGGCAGCCCCCUGGGCCAAUACUGACGCUCAUGCACGAAAGCGUGGGGAGCAAAACAGGAUUAGAUACCCUGGUAGUCCACGCCCUAAAACGAUGUCAACUAGUUGUUGGGGAUUCAUUUCCUUAGUAACGUAGCUAACGCGUGAAGUUGACCGCCUGGGGAGUACGGUCGCAAGAUUAAAACUCAAAGGGAAUUGACGGGGUCAUAGCUGUUUCCU